ensembl:lncRNA
CAUCGUCCAGGAAGUGACAUCAUUUUGGUGGGAAAGCAACUGCACAAACAUCAACAGUAUAAGUAAUGAACUCUGAAGUUUUCACUCACUCCAUGUGAUACUGACUUCAAGAAACACUCACUUGAGCUCACUGGCAGCGAGAGUCGGUCACACACAGCUCGUCACAAUCCUCCCGGGCCGUCCGUACCUGUCAAGGAGGAAGAUCCAGAUAAACAAGCCUCAUUCGUGACUUCUCUUUCUCAGACAGCAUGUUCGGACGGAAUCAAAGAUUUGUGGAAAGAUGUUGAACUUGACAGCGGAUGCACUGUGGUGACCAUCCAUCUGACAGGCUGCAGCUCUGCCCGCCGGCCACACCAGUGCACAUGACACAUGAAUAGGUAAUUUUACCUUUGCGUUACCAGGGUCGUGACCUUUGACCCCGGAGGUCUCUGCAUGUCAGUGUCGGGAUCAGUUUCACCCCUCCUCUCGCUCGCCCUGUCAGAUGCUUCAAAAGUCAGCGACAACAUCCUCCUCACCACCCCUGCGGCUCUAAACACACACACACAGGCACAAACACAAGCUGCCAGAGACUGAAGCAGAAUGAGAGAAAGAAAAAAAGCAAAGACGGUGACCUUCCUGCUUCAUGGCAGUAGCUGAGUCCCAAGAGCAGUCGAGGGAUCUUUUGAUAUUUCAAAAAGUGUCAUGCCUUUUUUUUUUUUUUUUCUGACUCUUUCUAUAUUUUUUUCGUAUUGUUACAUACUGAUAUGUCACAUUGUUGUUGAAAUGAAAUGCAACACUUCCCCGGGUUGUGAUUUCCUUGUUUGUGGGAAACCCAGUAGUGUCACCUGUACAGCUGACAAGUUUAGUUUUUGGCUCAGAGUCUCUCUGCCGGGAAACUUUGAUGGCGAGAGGUGCAGGAGUCCGGAGAGGCCGACAGUCACGGCUCUGUUUUCCUCUGCUCGGGUUUUAUGUGCAUUUACAAGCUCUGGGCUCAUACAGGUGAAGAGCUGCUUACCAGAGCGUUCAACUGUUUCUUUGUUUCCCACCAAUUUAAGCAAUAACUCAUAGAGUCUCAUCUCAGCCUCAACGAACGCUGGGAUAUUUUUCCUUUCUGAAGGUUUUUUGUUGUAUUACUGCUGGUGAUCAUUUUAU